UACGAAGGGGGCUAGCGUUGCUCGGAAUCACUGGGCGUAAAGCGCACGUAGGCGGAUUGCUAAGUCAGGGGUGAAAUCCUGGAGCUCAACUCCAGAACUGCCCUUGAUACUGGCGGUCUCGAGUCCGGGAGAGGUGAGUGGAACUGCGAGUGUAGAGGUGAAAUUCGUAGAUAUUCGCAAGAACACCAGCGGCGAAGGCGGCUCACUGGCCCGGUACUGACGCUGAGGUGCGAAAGCGUGGGGAGCAAACAGG
rnacentral:rRNA from 1 species